rnacentral:rRNA from 1 species
CUAACGCGUUAAGUCGACCGCCUGGGGAGUACGGCCGCAAGGUUAAAACUCAAAUGAAUUGACGGGGGCCCGCACAAGCGGUGGAGCAUGUGGUUUAAUUCGAUGCAACGCGAAGAACCUUACCUGGUCUUGACAUCCACGGAAGUUUUCAGAGAUGAGAAUGUGCCUUCGGGAACCGUGAGACAGGUGCUGCAUGGCUGUCGUCAGCUCGUGUUGUGAAAUGUUGGGUUAAGUCCCGCAACGAGCGCAACCCUUAUCCUUUGUUGCCAGCGGUCCGGCCGGGAACUCAAAGGAGACUGCCAGUGAUAAACUGGAGGAAGGUGGGGAUGACGUCAAGUCAUCAUGGCCCUUACGACCAGGGCUACACACGUGCUACAAUGGCGCAUACAAAGAGAAGCGACCUCGCGAGAGCAAGCGGACCUCAUAAAGUGCGUCGUAGU